rnacentral:rRNA from 2 species
CAAAUCUUGACAUCCUUUGACCGCUCUAGAGAUAGAGUCUUCCCCUUCGGGGGACAAAGUGACAGGUGGUGCAUGGUUGUCGUCAGCUCGUGUCGUGAGAUGUUGGGUUAAGUCCCGCAACGAGCGCAACCCUUAAGCUUAGUUGCCAUCAUUAAGUUGGGCACUCUAAGUUGACUGCCGGUGACAAACCGGAGGAAGGUGGGGAUGACGUCAAAUCAUCAUGCCCCUUAUGAUUUGGGCUACACACGUGCUACAAUGGACAAUACAAAGGGCAGCUAAACCGCGAGGUCAAGCAAAUCCCAUAAAGUUGUUCUCAGUUCGGAUUGUAGUCUGCAACUCGACUACAUGAAGCUGGAAUCGCUAGUAAUCGUAGAUCAGCAUGCUACGGUGAAUACGUUCCC